UACGUAGGGGGCUAGCGUUAUCCGGAAUUACUGGGCGUAAAGGGUGCGUAGGUGGUUUCUUAAGUCAGAGGUGAAAGGCUACGGCUCAACCGUAGUAAGCCUUUGAAACUGGGAAACUUGAGUACUGGAGAGGCAGACGGAAUUCCUAGUGUAGCGGUGAAAUGCAUAGAUAUUGCGCAGAACUCCGAUUGCGAAGGCAGCGUACUGGCGCCGGACUGACGCUGAGGCACGAAAGCGUGGGGAGCAAA
rnacentral:rRNA from 1 species